rnacentral:rRNA from 1 species
GACGAACGCUGGCGGCGUGCUUAACACAUGCAAGUCGAACGGAAAGGCCCUGCUUUUGUGGGGUGCUCGAGUGGCGAACGGGUGAGUAACACGUGAGUAACCUGCCCUUGACUUUGGGAUAACUUCAGGAAACUGGGGCUAAUCCCGGAUAGGAGCUCCUGCUGCAUGGUGGGGGUUGGAAAGUUUCGGCGGUUGGGGAUGGACUCGCGGCUUAUCAGCUUGUGGGUGGGUUAGUGGCUUACCAAGGCUUUGACGGGUAGCCGGCCUGAGAGGGUGACCGGCCAGAUGGGGACGGAGAUACGGCCCAGACUCCUAAGGGAGGCAGCAGUGGGGAAUAUUGCACAAUGGGCGGAAGCCUGAUGCAGCAACGCCGCGUGCGGGAUGACGGCCUUCGGGUUGUAAACCGCUUUCGCCUGUGACGAAGCGUGAGUGACGGUAAUGGGUAAAGAAGCACCGGCUAACUACGUG